rnacentral:rRNA from 1 species
CCUACGGGCGGCAGCAGUGAGGAAUAUUGGUCAAUGGACGAGAGUCUGAACCAGCCAAGUAGCGUGAAGGAUGACUGCCCUAUGGGUUGUAAACUUCUUUUAUAUGGGAAUAAAAUGUUCCACGUGUGGGAUUUUGUAUGUACCAUAUGAAUAAGGAUCGGCUAACUCCGUGCCAGCAGCCGCGGUAAUACGGAGGAUCCGAGCGUUAUCCGGAUUUAUUGGGUUUAAAGGGAGCGUAGGUGGAUUGUUAAGUCAGUUGUGAAAGUUUGCGGCUCAACCGUAAAAUUGCAGUUGAAACUGGCAGUCUUGAGUACAGUAGAGGUGGGCGGAAUUCGUGGUGUAGCGGUGAAAUGCUUAGAUAUCACGAAGAACUCCGAUCGCGAAGGCAGUUCACUGGACUGCAACUGACACUGAGGCUCGAAAGUGUGGGUAUCAAACAGGAUUAGAUACCCCUGUAGUC